AAAAAGAUGGCCGAGUGGUCUAAGGCGCUGUGUUUAGGACUGUAGUCACAAAUGUACUACUCCGUAAACCGCAGUGGGAAACCGCGAGGGUUCGAAUCCCUCUCUUGUCA
rnacentral:tRNA from 1 species